rnacentral:rRNA from 1 species
CCUACCGAGCCUAGUUAUAGCUGGUUGCUUAAGAAAUGAAUGUUAGUUCAGCCUUAUGUAAUUCUAUAACCAAAACUUAUUAACAAAAAGAACAAAAGCAAUACAUAAGAGUUAGUCAAAGGGGGUACAGCCCCUUUGAAACAGAACACAACCUUAUUCAGGAGGACAAGGAUCAUACCAUAAAAGGACAAAAUUACCUCAGUGGGCCCAAAAGCAGCCACCUGUAAAGAAAGCGUUAAAGCUCCGGUAAAUACAGACCAAUAAUAAAGACAAUACACUCCCCACCCCCUAAAAAUAUUAAGCUAUCCUAUGCACACAUAGGAGAAACAAUGCUAAAAUCAGUAAUAAGAGGGCCCAAGCCCUCUCCUAGCACAUGUGUAAGUCAGAACGGACCGACCACUGACAAUCAACGGACCCAAACAGAGAGAAAAAGAACAAACUACAAAAAACAAGAAAAAUCUAUUUAAUACCACAAACCGUUAACCCAACACAGGAGUGCCUAAAGGAAAGACUAAAAGGAGAAGAAGGAACUCGGCAAACACAAACCCCGCCUGUUUACCAAAAACAUCGCCUCUUGCUAACAAAGGAAGUACUAGAGGUCCCGCCUGCCCUGUGACCACAAAGUUUAACGGCCGCGGUAUCCUGACCGUGCGAAGGUAGCGUAAUCAUUUGUCUUUUAAAUAGAGACCUGUAUGAAUGGCAUAACGAGGGUUUAACUGUCUCCUUCCCCUAGUCAAUGAAAUUGAUCUGCCCGUGCAGAAGCGGACAUAAACACAUAAGACGAGAAGACCCUAUGGAGCUUUAGACAAAAGAUCAAACAUGUAAAGAAACCAAGUUAACCAAAAGGAACACAAAGGCCACGAAACCCGACGUAAACUGAUCCAAAUGUCUUCGGUUGGGGCGACCAUGGGGGAGAAAAAAGCCCCCACGAGGAACAGGGACUAAUCCCUAAGCCAAGAGAGACAUCUCUAAGCAACAGAAAAUCUGACCAAAAGUGACCCAGAAUACUAAUUCUGAUCAACGAACCAAGUUACCCUAGGGAUAACAGCGCAAUCCUUUCCC